rnacentral:rRNA from 1 species
GACGUAGGGGGCCAGCGUUGUUCGGAAUUACUGGGUGUAAAGGGUUCGUAGGCGGUGCGGCAAGUUGGGAGUGAAAUCUCUGGGCUUAACCCAGAGGCUGCUUCCAAAACUGCUGUGCUUGAGUGUGGGAGAGGCGCGUGGAAUUGCAGGUGUAGCGGUGAAAUGCGUAGAUAUCUGCAGGAACACCCGUGGCGAAAAGCGGCGCGCUG